rnacentral:sRNA from 12 species
GCCUUAUACAGAUAUAGUGACGCAAGACAGUGGCGUAUCUCCCUGUAAGGUGGUGUUAAACAUAGAAGUAUGAGUGACAAAUUCUAUUGUGUGGCUUCUGAGUCGAAAUAGAAUGAGCUUAUACGGAAUGGGUUAACCGUAAGACCUUGAAUUGAAAACUUCUAAAAUCGACCUAGUGAUACGAAAAUAAUUCUCGAUUUUCAUUAUUUCUAGUUACGGUGGA